CUCCAGGGCAGUGAUGAUCUGAAACACAGAGACCAACUCAGCAGGGGGAGACCGCCAGCCUGCCGUCUGCCUUUGCCACAGACUUCAGGUGUUCAGGCGCCUCCACAGACCCUGGACCUCAGAAGUCACGUCCUCGUCGGAAAGAAUGAGAUGCCCGGCCACCCCAGACCGCCAUUCUGCAAGGACAAGGGACAGCAGCUCCCUCCACUCUGUGGCCCCAGCACCUGGCACAGUGCACUAGUGUCUGCUGGGUGAAUGGCAGAAAAAAUGG